CCUACGGGUGGCUGCAGUGAGGAAUAUUGGUCAAUGGGCGGGAGCCUGACCCAGCCAAGCCGCGUGAGGGAAGAAGGUACAGCGUAUCGUAAACCUCUUUUGUCAGGGAACAAAGGCGGGGACUAGUCCCCGGAUGAGGGUACCUGAAGAAAAAGCAUCGGCUAACUCCGUGCCAGCAGCCGCGGUAAUACGGAGGAUGCGAGCGUUAUCCGGAUUUAUUGGGUUUAACGGGUGCGAAGGCGGCCUGUUAAGUCAGCGGUAAGAGCCCGGGGCUCAACCCCGGCGAGCCGUUGACACUGGCUGUCUUGAGUUGGAGAGAGGUACGCGGAAUGCGCGGUGUAGCGGUGAAAUGCUUAGAGAUCGCGCAGAACCCC
rnacentral:rRNA from 1 species